rnacentral:tRNA from 1 species
GCAUUGGUGAUUCAGAGGUAGAAGUCUCACCCUCCGUGGGGGAGGCCUGGGUUCGAUUCCCAGUCAAUGCA